rnacentral:rRNA from 1 species
CAGCCGCGCGGGAAUACGUAGGGUGCAAGCGUUAAUCGGAAUUACUGGGCGUAAAGCGUGCGCAGGCGGUUAUAUAAGACAGAUGUGAAAUCCCCGGGCUCAACCUGGGAACUGCAUUUGUGACUGUAUAGCUAGAGUACGGCAGAGGGGGAUGGAAUUCCGCGUGUAGCAGUGAAAUGCGUAGAUAUGCGGAGGAACACCGAUGGCGAAGGCAAUCCCCUGGGCCUGUACUGACGCUCAUGCACGAAAGCGUGGGGAGCAAACAGGAUUAGAGACCCCUGUAGUCCCUGUCUCUUAUACA